rnacentral:rRNA from 1 species
GACGAACGCUGGCGGCGCGCUUAACACAUGCAAGUCGAGCGAUGAAACUUUAACAGAACCCUUCGGGGCGAAGAUAAAGUGGAUUAGCGGCGGACGGGUGAGUAACACGUGAGUAGCCUGCCUUAGACAUUGGGAUAGCCUCGGGAAACCGGGAUUAAUACCAAAUAAAAUCAUAAUGACACAUGUCAUAACGAUCAAAACUCCGGUGGUCUAAGAUGGACUCGCGUCCCAUUAGCUAGUUGGCAGAGUAAAAGCCUACCAAGGCGACGAUGGGUAGCCGGCCUGAGAGGGUGAACGGCCACAUUGGAACUGAGAAACGGUCCAAACUCCUACGGGAGGCAGCAGUGGGGAAUAUUGCACAAUGGAGGGAACUCUGAUGCAGCGACGCCGCGUGAACGAAGAAGGCUUUCGAGUCGUAAAGUUCUUUUAUAUGGGAAGAUAAUGACGGUACCAUAAGAAAAAGCCCCGGCUAACUACGUG